rnacentral:lncRNA from 1 species
UAAAGCAGAAAAACCCCUCGCACAGGGCCAAUGUCGUCCUGCGUGCAGUGCCUUAGACCAACUAUACUCCGGCAAGCAACGGCUGCAUUCAGAGCGCCAAGGGACGGCGUAAAUGGGGAGUGGCUGGAACAGUCUAGUCCAAGUAACGAGACUUCCUACUGACUGUAUUCUUCCUUGCUAUUUUUAUCGCUGGUAUACAGGGUAUCAAUGGCAGAGAGAGAUUCUGAAGUAGCCUCCAUAAUGAUAGGCGUUCUUCCGUGCAUCGGGGAGUGCAGGAUGAAGACCUCGGCGGAUAUCUGCGAAACGAACUGGCUAUGCAAAUUCCAGAUAAACGAAGGACGACAGUUUUAGGGAAGAAAGAGACUGGAGCGGCGGUGAUGCCAAGGAAUUGCAGACGAAGGAGCUAGGUGGGUCGAGCAGGUGGAGUGGAGGAAAUGGCAGGCUCUGACGAAAACGACUCCUGAGGGAGCGUUUGCGGAAAAAAGAAUAACUAAACUGUAUUCCAUGCUAAUUCUCGCGCUGUCUAUCGAACUAGUUGUUUGAUAUCACGAACUGGUCUCUUGCCGGCUGACAAUCCAUCGUACUAUUUUACUCUGCAACACAGACAAUAUGUCAAAAUUAGGGAGGGGGACUCGUCAAGCAAGUCCAGUAACACAUAGAUAAGUAAACGUUAGCUUAUUGGUCACCUGAACAGACGUCACUUCUCUUCUCGUCGUGAGGUAAAAACACCAAACAAAAGCAAACAAUGAAAAAAAAAGUUUCUCCAUACUUUCACAUCGCAAAUCAGCUUGGUAUACUGCAGAGGUACAAACAACCUCAAUCCUUUUUAACGGAACUAGCACUGUAUUGUUAGCCUGGCUUAUCAAAGAGGCAUUGGCAGUUCGUCACUUUAUUUUUCGGGUGAUUGCUUGAUCAUAUUAAGUGAAUGUGUUUGUUCUUAUCUGAUUUGUAGUACUCUUUUUUUGGGGGACGGGGGUAUGUCUAUAUUACCCCCCCCCCCUUCGUUUAAAAUGCCUCCCUCGUUCCUGGCACAGGGAUGGUAAUGGUAAAAGCUAUCACAGUCAUUGUAUUGUUUGAUGUGUAUCCCAGUUUUAUGUGCGUACAUCAGCCAUCAGCUUUAUGUGAUUCUUUCAUUUAUGUAACCGCUCUUUAGAAUUAAAUUUGUACGUAGUUUGUACGUUUAAUUUUAGAUACAGGACCCUUUAUACAUUUGCAUAUAUGUACAAAACUUUGGGAUGUAAUUCUCUUGAAAGUUAAUUGUGCUUAUGCUUUCAAAUAUUGCUGCUUGUGGAGUUCGCAAGUAGAAGUGUUUGUGCUUAUCUCUGUCUAGGAUAUAAAAUAUUUCUGUAGGAAUAACUACAUAUUUAUGGAAAUGAAAUUCUGAAUCUAAAAUGUCUUUAAGGUUUCUAAUAUGCCUCUAUUGAGAUCGAUAUUUAUAUUUGAUAAAGCUGUAUUGGUUAUAACUGUAAAGAUGUUUUGACCACAGAGAGAGCAAGGCAGAAUUGCCGAACCCCACCGACAUUUCUAUUUACAUAUUCUUAUUUUUUAAGGCAUAUUAACAUGACAAAAUUUAGCGUCAGAACUAAGAGUGUAAAUCUUAAUAAUCAUCUGAGAUGCCUGAAAAUGGCUGAGUUCCUUAAAUUGUUUCGCAAAGAAAAAAGGGGAGGAAGUCCCGGAAGAGAGAAUGGAUCGCCAUUCUCCUUCAGACCAAUCCCGCCUCUCAACCCGCACGGGUCUGCAUCAGCUGUGGGUAUUAAAAUCUUAUUUUUACUCGAAAGUUGAAUUUUUCAGCAGGAUAAGUGACUUCUGAUAAAUACUAAAGCCGUGUGUAGUAGAUGCUAUUGAGUAAUAAAGAUGGAUCACCCUGUUUACCACCACCACCAACAGCACCACCACCAUUUAUGGCCUGUGAAGACAACAACGAAUUAGUCCGUGGCAAUGAUUCUGACUGCGUCGAGGAAUGAGUUGGGAAUGGAGCAACGGAUCAAAGUAAAGUACAUGAAAGAAAAAUCGCGAAAACUCGAAGGGAAGGACUGACUGUUUGUUCGUCCAAGGAAACGACAGAAAGAUGCGAGGGUAUUGACUGCCUCGAUCCCAUCUCACCUUUAUUCUUUUUAUAUCUAUUUUCGUGACUAUUAUUGAUUUGUAUUAGUAGAAAAAAAAACAAAGGAUGUCGAACUGAAUUUGAUUUAGUUAGAUAAAGAUUAUUCCUUCAUCCUUGUUUUUUCUUAUAUUUAUUAUUGUAAUAUGCCACCUGUUUAACGUUAUAUGAUUAUAGAAUAAAGGAAACUGGAUAAAACUGGAA